CCUACGGGAGGCAGUAGUGGGGAAUAUUGGGCAAUGGGCGCAAGCCUGACCCAGCAACGCCGCGUGAAGGAAGAAGGCUUUCGGGUUGUAAACUUCUUUUCUCAGGGACGAAGCAAGUGACGGUACCUGAGGAAUAAGCCACGGCUAACUACGUGCCAGCAGCCGCGGUAAUACGUAGGUGGCAAGCGUUAUCCGGAUUUACUGGGUGUAAAGGGCGUGUAGGCGGGGACGCAAGUCAGAUGUGAAAACCACGGGCUCAACCUGUGGCCUGCAUUUGAAACUGUGUUUCUUGAGUACUGGAGAGGCAGACGGAAGUCCUAGUGGAGCGGUGAAAGGCGGAGAUAUUAGGAGGAACACGAGUGGCGAAGGCGGUCUGCUGGACAGCAACUGACGCUGAGGCGCGAAAGCGUGGGGAGCAAACAGGAUUAGAUACCCGUGUAGUC
rnacentral:rRNA from 1 species